UUUGAUCCUGGCUCAGGAUGAACGCUGGCGGCGUGCUUAACACAUGCAAGUCGAACGAUGAUCCYMRCUUGYKGGGGGAUUAGUGGCGAACGGGUGAGUAACACGUGAGUAACCUGCCCUUGACUYUGGGAUAAGCCUGGGAAACCGGGUCUAAUACUGGAUAUGACCUUCUGGCGCAUGCCAUGUUGGUGGAAAGCUUUAUUGCGGUUUUGGAUGGACUCGCGGCCUAUCAGCUUGUUGGUGGGGUAAUGGCCUACCAAGGCGACGACGGGUAGCCGGCCUGAGAGGGUGGACGGCCACACUGGGACUGAGACACGGCCCAGACUCCUACGGGAGGCAGCAGUGGGGAAUAUUGCACAAUGGGCGCAAGCCUGAUGCAGCGACGCCGCGUGGGGGAUGAAGGCCUUCGGGUUGUA
rnacentral:rRNA from 1 species